AUGCUUAGACCACUAUAUAUAUAUAUAUAUACAUACACACACACAUACACAUACUUGCAUAUAUAUAUGUAUACAUAGUGUUUUGAAAAAUGCAAGCACUUUAAGAAUUGAAAGUGAUAUAAAAACAAUGAGUUCUUAAACAUGUCCAUUGUUUUCAUGUCUAAAAAUAAAAACACUUUUGAAAAACCAGUUGCAUUUCUGUUAUCAUUAUAUGUUCGCAACCUUUUGGUUCCUUUUCAAAAAAUUUAGCUGCUUGCUGGAAAUCAACAUUUUGUUACAUAUUGGAUUCUGAGGAUGUGUUAUGCGUCAGAGGAGGCAAAGCUGCAGGGUUGAAUUUACUAAUUAUACACCAACAUCUUCUUGGGUUUUAUUACCAAAUGGCCAUGUUCAAUUUUUGGGUUUGCACACACUCCUUAUUCUUCUUUUCCUUCCAAUCAUGUAUGCAUUAAUGGAAUAGUCUACUGGUUCACUCGAUCAGAAGAAGGCAUCGACUCCAUCCUUGUAGUUAAUAGAGAGGAAAUUUUUAGCACAAUUAGGCUUCCAAAUGAGAAAAUUCUACGUCCUUACUUGAUCAAUCUCGAAGGUUGUUUGUGUUUAGUGGUUGACAAUGGACUUGAGGAAUAUAGAUUUGAUAUAUGGGCUUUGCAAGAUAGCAAGGAGUCCCUUUGGACCAAGAAAUGGAGUGAUUAUAUGCCCUUUUGUAGCGUUGCACAUAUCAUUGACCAUAUAGCCACGCGAAAAAAUGAAAUUCUUUUAGGAACUUUUAGUCGUCUUCAUCUCUAUAACAUGGGGACCAGAACUUGGAGAAAAUUCAACUGGGAACAUGAUGGUGAAGAAGUAGCGAUUUGUCUUCCGGUGCCAUACACAGAGAGCCUCCUCCCUUGCAAUGGACGCGUUAUGGUGUUGUAGUCCUUUUGGCUUGGCUCUAUAGUAUUCCUUUUCAUUAUAGUAAAACUGUAGAUGAAGUGAUCAAUGUUUUUGCCCCAUCCUUUCUAUAUUAAAGUUUUGCCACCCCAUUUAUUUUGUA